UAAAUUUGCUUUUUUAUACUUUUGUGGUAUAAUUAUCGCGUCGUUUCGGCGACUAUGGUAAUAAAUGUCGUGAUUAAUAAGCGACGUGGACUCGGGGGCAGAGCCCGACGUCUCCACCGACGGGUCUUGAGGGGACGAACAGAUUCGACACGCGUUGAAAAGCACGGUUUUUACCCGUGGCGGUUUACGUUACAGAACCAAAACUAUAAAUGCGAACGAUAAUUUUGUCGCAUGCAACGAUAACUUCGCGGACGGGGCAAUUGCCGUCGCCGCUUAGUUAAGUAGACGCGGUCAGGGGAGCCGGGCAACAGAACUCCCCGCU
rnacentral:tmRNA from 1 species